GAUGAACGCUAGCGGCAGGCUUAACACAUGCAAGUCGAGGGGUAUAGUUUUUCGGAACUAGAGACCGGCGCACGGGUGCGUAACGCGUAUGCAAUCUACCUUUUGCAGAGGGAUAGCCCAGAGAAAUUUGGAUUAAUACCUCAUAGUAUAGUACCUUGGCAUCAAGGAGCUAUUAAAGUCACAACGGCAAAAGAUGAGCAUGCGUCCCAUUAGCUAGUUGGUAAGGUAACGGCUUACCAAGGCAACGAUGGGUAGGGGUCCUGAGAGGGAGAUCCCCCACACUGGUACUGAGACACGGACCAGACUCCUACGGGAGGCAGCAGUGAGGAAUAUUGGACAAUGGGCGCAAGCCUGAUCCAGCCAUGCCGCGUGCAGGAUGACGGUCCUAUGGAUUGUAAACUGCUUUUAUACGAGAAGAAACACUCCUACGUGUAGGAGCUUGACGGUAUCGUAAGAAUAAGGAUCGGCUAACUCCGUGCCAGCAGCCGACGG
rnacentral:rRNA from 1 species